UUCCAGCUCUAAAAGCGUAUCUUAAAGUUGUUGCAGUUAAAAAGCUCGUAGUCGGAAGGGGUACACAUUGAGAAAAUAGAGUGUUAAAAGGUAAAGUGGGAGAGCACAGGACGUACCGUUCUUAAUCAAUAAACCGAUUAAGAAUGGUGAGAAUAGAAACAAUAGAGGGUAUGAGUAUUUUAUGGUUAGAGGUGAAAUUCUAUGAUUCAUGAAAGACUAUCGGGGGCGAAGGCACUUACCUCUUGGGUGU
rnacentral:rRNA from 1 species